rnacentral:rRNA from 1 species
UUUCCCAGUCANCGACGUUGUAAAACGACGGCCAGUGAAUUCGAGCUCGGUACCUCGCGAAUGCAUCUAGAUUCCUACGGGAGGCAGCAGUGGGGAAUAUUGGACAAUGGGGGAAACCCUGAUCCAGCCAUGCCGCGUGUGUGAAGAAGGCCUUAUGGUUGUAAAGCACUUUAAGCGAGGAGGAGGCUACUGAGACUAAUACUCUUGGAUAGUGGACGUUACUCGCAGAAUAAGCACCGGCUAACUCCGUGCCAGCAGCCGCGGUAAUACAGAGGGUGCGAGCGUUAAUCGGAUUUACUGGGCGUAAAGCGUGCGUAGGCGGCUUUUUAAGUCGGAUGUGAAAUCCCCGAGCUUAACUUGGGAAUUGCAUUCGAUACUGGGAAGCUAGAGUAUGGGAGAGGAUGGUAGAAUUCCAGGUGUAGCGGUGAAAUGCGUAGAGAUCUGGAGGAAUACCGAUGGCGAAGGCAGCCAUCUGGCCUAAUACUGACGCUGAGGUACGAAAGCAUGGGGAGCAAACAGGAUUAGAUACCCUGGUAGUCCAUGCCGUAAACGAUGUCUWCUAGCCGUUGGGGCCUUUGAGGCUUUAGUGGCGCAGCUAACGCGAUAAGUAGACCGCCUGGGGAGUACGGU